CAGCCGCCGCGGUAAUGCGUAGGUGGCAAGCGUUGUCCGGAAUUAUUGGGCGUAAAGCGUGCGUAGGCGGUGAGUUAAGUCUGCUGUGAAAUCCCCGGGCUCAACCUGGGAAUGGCAGUGGAUACUGGCUCGCUAGAGUGUGUCAGAGGAUGGUGGAAUUCCCGGUGUAGCGGUGAAAUGCGUAGAGAUCGGGAGGAACAUCAGUGGCGAAGGCGGCCAUCUGGGACAACACUGACGCUGAGGCACGAAAGCGUGGGGAGCAAACAGGAUUAGAUACCCGCGUAGUCCCUGUCUCUUAUAC
rnacentral:rRNA from 1 species